UACGGAGGGUGCGAGCGUUAAUCGGAAUGACUGGGCGUAAAGCGUGCGCAGGCGGUUUGUUAAGUCUGUUGUGAAAUCCCCGAGCUCAACUUGGGAAUUGCAAUGGAUACUGGCAGGCUGGAGUAUGGUAGAGGAAGGUGGAAUUCCCGGUGUAGCAGUGAAAUGCGUAGAGAUCGGGAGGAACACCAGUGGCGAAGGCGGCCUUCUGGACCAAUACUGACGCUCAUGCACGAAAGCGUGGGGAGCAAACAGG
rnacentral:rRNA from 1 species